rnacentral:rRNA from 1 species
GGGAAUCUUGGUCAAUGGGCGCAAGCCUGAACCAGCGACGCCGCGUGAGUGAUGAAGGCCUUCGGGUUGUAAAGCUCUGUGGGGAGGGACGAAAGAGUUCAGUCGAAUAGGCUGAAUAGUUGACGGUACCUCCUUAGCAAGCACCGGCUAACUCUGUGCCAGCAGCCGCGGUAAGACAGAGGGUGCAAACGUUGCUCGGAAUUACUGGGCGUAAAGCGCGUGUAGGCGGGUUUCCAAGUCAGAUGUGAAAUCCCCGGGCUCAACUCGGGAACUGCAUUUGAAACUGGGAGUCUUGAGUAUCGGAGAGGAAAGCGGAAUUCCUGGUGUAGAGGUGAAAUUCGUAGAUAUCAGGAGGAACACCGGUGGCGAAGGCGGCUUUCUGGACGAUAACUGACGCUGAGACGCGAAAGCGUGGGGAGCAAA